rnacentral:rRNA from 1 species
UGUGUAGGCGGCCAUUCAAGUCGGAUGUGAAAGCCCCGGGCUCAACCCGGGAAGUGCACCCGAAACUGGAUGGCUUGAGUAUCGGAGAGGUUGGUGGAAUUCUCGGUGUAGAGGUGAAAUUCGUAGAUAUCGAGAGGAACACCGGUGGCGAAGGCGGCCAACUGGACGAAUACUGACGCUGAGACACGAAAGCGUGGGGAGCAAACAGGAUUAGAUACCCUGGUAGUCCACGCCGUAAACGAUGGGUGCUAGGUGUCACGGGCAUUGACUCCCGUGGUGCCGUAGCCAACGCAUUAAGCACCCCGCCUGGGAAGUACGGCCGCAAGGCUAAA